AGGUUCCAUAGUUUAGUAGUUAGAAUUCUAACAAUUAAGAUUAGAGACUUAGGUUCGAUUCCUAGUAGUUUA